rnacentral:rRNA from 1 species
UACGGAGGGUGCAAGCGUUGUUCGGAUUUACUGGGCGUAAAGGGCGCGUAGGCGGUUUUAUAAGCCAGAUGUGAAAGCCCACGGCUCAACCGUGGAAGUGCAUCUGGAACUGUAAGACUUGAGUAUGGGAGAGGAAAGUGGAAUUCCCGGUGUAGAGGUGAAAUUCGUAGAUAUCGGGAGGGAUACCGGUGGCGAAGGCGACUUUCUGGACCAAUACUGACGCUGAGGCGCGAAAGCGUGGGUAGCAAACAGGAUUAGAAACCCCGGUAGU